GACGAACGCUGGCGGCGUGCCUAAUACAUGCAAGUAGAACGCAGUUGCGAACGGGUGAGUAACGCGUAGGUAACUGCCUCAUAGCGGGGGAUAACUAUUGGAAACGAUAGCUAAUACCGCAAACUGUGAGAUUGACCUGCGUUGUAUUUGCUAGUUGGUGAGGUAAAGGCUCAACAAGGCGACGAUACAUAGCCGACCUGAGAGGGUGAUCGGGCACACUGGGACUGAGGCACGGCCCCGACUCCUACGGGAGGCAGCGGUGGGGAAUCUUCGGCAAUGGACGGAAGUCUGACCGAGCAACGCCGCGUGAGUGAAGAAGGUGUUCGGAUCGUAAAGCUCUGUUGUUAGAGAAGCGGUAACUAAACAGAAAGGGACGGCUAACUACGUGCCAGCAGCCGCGGUAAUUC
rnacentral:rRNA from 1 species